rnacentral:rRNA from 1 species
AUGCCUCGCCAGACGGGGGAAAGAAAAAGACAGCGAGAGCCCAGUGGCCAUGGCUACAUGGUUUCUUUCUUCCCUUUAUCCAACGUUUCUUCGCCGGAAUCAUUGCUUGCCCACUGGAGCAGCCGAUCGCAUCUUCUUCUGAGGAAAGAAGAGGGUUUUGCGUGCGACGGUUUGCUGGACUCCAGGGGAAUAAUUACGUUUCAACAACUUAGCAUGAUAACUUAUUAUGAAUAUAUGUCCUCAAAUGUAGACAAUGGAGAUGCUCUGAAUGUAAGGGUGUAUUGUACUGUUGUCCCAUCUUUCUAUGACACGAACAGACGGCCGGCAUGGCAAGCCGAGGAAACAUCGUUCAGCUCUUGUCCGACAAAGUAA